ACAUAUUAUUAGUAGUUAAUGAUUAGCUCGAUAUUAGGCCCUUUAUUAUUCCUUAUAUAUGUAAAUGACAUGCCAGCUGCAGUCAAAUGUAAGUUGUUAUUAUAUGCCGAUGACUCAUCACUACUAGUGUCUGGAAAAGAUAUCCACCAAAUUGAAGACACUCUUAGUGAAGAGCUUAAAAAUGUAAGAGAGUGGCUGUUUGACAACAGACUGUCAUUGCACCUAGGGAAAUCAGAGUGCAUCCUAUUUGGCACCAAACGUAAGC